AACAUCUACACACGUACAAUGAUUCAUUUUUGAUCACAUACAUUGUAUUUAACCUUUACAUUCACGAUUCUUUACAUUGCUUUUCCUCAUUUCUUUUUUACAUCACAUUUGCUCAUAAUAACACAUUACAUUCUUUUCUUUAACAUCUCAAAUCAUCGAAUACAAAAGAUGAUGUAAGGGUAUGCUACUAGCAAAUGUAUAAAACCCGACUCGGGUAGCCUCUGUCUACAGCGCG
rnacentral:lncRNA from 1 species